UGAUGGUAGCAUACUUGAAGUACCAAUGGUCACUUGGCGAGGAUCAUAAGCGAAAGGAAGCCUUUGCUAGGUUGCAGGACCUUGCUAUGGACCUCUCAAGAACAGCUACUCUUCAACCAGUAAUGCAGAAUGCAUUAGUUACUUCUUCUGGUGAACCACUUGUUUCUGUAUGUACCUCAGACUCGGAACUUGGAAGUGGGUACUUUCUCCUGGUUUGGAUGGUGAUUCUAUACAAGAAAUUCUUAGUGCAUUUAGAAAUUCUGCUCACUGUGCAACGAAGUGGGGAAAGGCAUGGCAUACUAG